GGUUCCAUGGUCUAGUGGUUAGGGCAUUGGACUCUGAACCAGUAACCCGAGUUCAAGUCUCAGUGGAACCU
rnacentral:tRNA from 1 species